rnacentral:rRNA from 1 species
UACGGAGGGUCCGAGCGUUAUCCGGAAUCAUUGGGCGUAAAGAGCGUGUAGGCGGCCAGGUAGGUCGGUUGUGAAAACUGGAGGCUCAACCUUCAGACGUCGACCGAAACCAUCUGGCUAGAGUCCGGGAGAGGAGAGUGGAAUUCCUGGUGUAGCGGUGAAAUGCGCAGAUAUCAGGAAGAACACCCGUGGCGAAAGCGGCUCUCUGGAACGGUACUGACGCUGAGACGCGAAAGCGUGGGGAGCGAACAGG